UCUUUAUCACGAGAGAUUGAGGGACUGGCCCGAUGACAUCUCAGCAACCGACCCACGCGUAACGCGGCGGCACGGUGCUAAAUCCUGCAGAGUAAUCUGAGAGAUAAGAA
rnacentral:ncRNA from 2 species